rnacentral:tRNA from 1 species
ACCUGGGUGGCUCAGUCGGUUAAGCACCUGACUUCGGCUCAGGUCACGAUCUUGCAGUUUGUGAGUUCAAGCCCCACGUCAGGCU